UUUUAGUUAGAGUUUGAUCCUAGCUCAGGAUGAACGCUGGCGGCGUGGAUAAGGCAUGCAAGUCACGGGGGCCGCAAGGCAACCGGCGAACGAGUCAGUAACACCUUGGUACAUACCUCGAAGUAGGGCAUAGCCCGCCGAAAGGCGGGGUAAUUCGCUAUAAUCCCGCA
rnacentral:rRNA from 1 species